rnacentral:rRNA from 1 species
UACGGGGGGGGCAAGCGUUGUUCGGAAUUACUGGGCGUAAAGGGUUCGUAGGUGGCUGGCUAAGUCAGACGUGAAAUCCCUCAGCUCAACUGGGGAACUGCGUCUGAGACUGGUCAGCUUGAGUGCAGGAGAGGAACGCGGAAUUCCAGGUGUAGCGGUGAAAUGCGUAGAUAUCUGGAGGAACACCGGUGGCGAAGGCGGCGUUCUGGACUGCAACUGACACUGAGGAACGAAAGCCAGGGGAGCAAACGGG